ensembl:lncRNA
UUCCCAUUUUUUUCCCUGAUUUUUCCUUUUUUUUUUUUGCUUUUUUUUUUUGUAUUUUUCCCUAAUUUUCCUCUUUUUCCCCCCUUUUUUCCACACUUUUUCCUGGGGUUUUUUCCCUAAUUUUCCCUCUUUUUCCCCCUCUUUUUUCAAUGUUUUUUCCCCGUUCCUCCCCUGAUUUUCUUGGUUUUUUUCCCCCAUUUUUUCCCUAUUUUUCCUCCCAUUUUUCCCUGGGUUUUCCCCCAUUUUUCCUGGGUUUUUUUCCCUGUUUGUUCCCUGUUAUUCCCCAAUUUUUUCCCCCAUAUUUUCUCCCAUUUUUCCCAAUUCUCCCGUUUUUUCCCCCAUUCCAGAGCCUGCGGCGCCGGGCCGAGCGCAGCGCGGAGAAGAAAGCGGCGCCGUUCACGGCAGUGCUGCGCCAGCACGGGCUGCUGCUGUAAAAUAAACCCAAACUGGGACAAACUGGGACAAACUGGGAGCGUCAGAGCCUGACUGGGACGGACUGGGAGGGACUGGGACAGACCGGGAUGGACUGGGAGGGACUGGAAUGGACUCUUGAGGGACUGGGGCACUCUGGGCCUCACUGGGAUGGACUGGGGCGCAUUUUGGGGAGGUUUCAGAGCUUUUAUUGAGCCACAGGCGGGCGACACCAGAGCUGCCCUGGUCACUCCAGAGGGUCAGCAGUCGGUCACUCGGGGUCAGCGGUCACUCCCGUGGUCACUCCAGCAGUCAGCGGUCAAUCCGGAGGGACAGUGGUCACUCCAGAGGGUCAGCAGUCCAGUCCCAUGGUCACUCCAGUGGUCUGCAGUUGCUCCAGCGGUCACUUUGGGUCAGUGGUCACUCCGUCCACCAUGACCCCGACCUGUGUCCGGGCCUGGUCCAGCAGCCGCGCGAUGACCUCGCUCUCGGCCAGCGGCAUCUCGGGGCUCUCGGUCAGCCCUGGGGUCAGAGACCCAAAAAUGAGGGAGAUUCACCCCAAAAUCUGGGAGGUUUUACCCCCAAUCCCGCAAGUUUUACCCAAAUCCCAGGAUUUUACCCAAACCUCGGGAUUUUUAUCCAAAACCCGUGGUUUUUCCCGCAAAAAUCCCAAUGUUCCCCCACCAAAUCCCAGGUUUCCCCCCCAAUCCUGUGUUUUUUUACCCAAAAUCGCAGUUUUUCGCCCCAACUCUCACUCUGCAGCAGGCACUCCCGCACGUGCUGGGCCUCGUAGCGCAGCCAAACCCCGGGUUUUUGCCCCAAAUCCCAGGUUCCCGCCCCAAUCCUGUGUUUUUUACCCAAAAUCGCAGUUUUUCGCCCCAAAUCUCACCCUGCAGCAGGCACUCCCGCACGUGCUGGGCCUCGUAGCGCAGCCCGGUGCUGUGGGGGAAGUUGAGGGGCUCGGCCGGGGGGGGCAGCGGGAAACGCUCGCGGCGCCCCCCCCACUGCAGCUCCGUGGGGCAGUUCAUGUGGGUCGGGAGCUAAAGGGGAAAAAUGUGGGGUGAGACCCAAAAACACCCGAAAUUCACCCAAAAACACCCCCAGAAAUACACCCAAAACCACCCAAAAUCCUCCCCAAAAAUACCCCCCCAAGGAAUUAACCACAGCCCCCCAUUGCAGCUCCGUGGGGCAGUUCAUGUGGGGCAUGAAACAGGGUCAGACCCAAAAACCACCGAAAUCCACCCAAAAGUAACCCUGGACCAAAAGAAACCCCGAAAUCCACCCAAAAAACCCCAGAAAUGAACCCUGGCCCAACCGUGCACCCCCCCCCGCCCCGUGUUUUGGGGUG